CCUACGGGGGGCAGCAGUGAGGAAUCUUGGUCAAUGGACGAGAGUCUGAACCAGCCAAGUAGCGUGAAGGAUGACUGCCCUCUGGGUUGUAAACUUCUUUUAUAAAGGAAUAAAACGAGGCACGUGUGCCUUUUUGCAUGUACUUUAUGAAUAAGGAUCGGCUACCUCCGUGCCAGCAGCCGCGGUAAUACGGAGGAUCCGAGCGUUAUCCGGAUUGAUUGGGUUUAAAGGGAGCGUAGAUGGGUUGGUAAGUCAGUUGUGAAAGUUUGCGGCUCAACCGUAAAAUUGCAAUUGAUACUGGCAGUCUUGAGUACAGUUGAGGUAGGCGGAAUUCGUGGUGUAGCGGUGAAAUGCGUAGAUAUCACGAAGAACCCCGAUUGCGAAGGCAGCUUACUAAACUGUGACUGACAUUGAUGCUCGAAAGUGUGGGUAGCAAACAGGAUUAGAUACCCGAGUAGUC
rnacentral:rRNA from 1 species